AUUGAACGCUUGCGGCAGGCUUAACACAUGCAAGUCGAGCGAGCGGCGGACGGGUGAGUAAUGUCUGGGAAACUGCCUGAUGGAGGGGGAUAACUACUGGAAACGGUAGCUAAUACCGCAUACCAUCAGAUGUGCCCAGAUGGGAUUAGCUAGUAGGUGGGGUAAUGGCUCACCUAGGCGAUGAUCCCUAGCUGGUCUGAGAGGAUGACCAUCCACCCUGGAACUGAGUCCCGGUCCAGAGUCCUACGGGAGGAAGAAGUGGGGUAUAUUGCAUAAUGGGAGCAAGCCUGAUGCAGCCAUGCCUGGUGUGUGAAGAAGGCCUUCGGGUUGUAAUGAACUUUCAGCGAGGAGGCGUUACUCGCAGAAGAAGCACCGGCUAACUCCGUGCCAGCAGCCGCGGUAAUAC
rnacentral:rRNA from 1 species